rnacentral:rRNA from 1 species
UAUUAAUGCAUUGUUAAAUAAAUCUUGAGUAGUAACAGUGACCUCGAAACUUAAAGAAUUUGGCGGCAUUCUUACCUGUUAGAGGAGCCUGUCCCGUAAUCGACGAUCCACGUUUGAGUGAACCUUAGUUAAAAGCUUGUAUACCGCCGUAUAGAAUAAAUUUAAAAGUUUAUUCUUAAUUAAAUUCUUAAAUAUUUCAGGUCAAGGUGCAGCCUAUGUUAAGGGGGAGGUGGGCUACAUUAUUAUAUUUCAGAUAUAAAAAUUUAAAUUUUAUUGACGAAGGAUUUGUGUGUAAAUUUAAUCUUAAUUGAAUUGAUAAGGUUCCAGAGUGUG